GAAGCUGGGCUGGGCUGUUAGGGGCGUAGCUCAGCAAUGCAGCCGUUGCUCUGCAUGCAGAAGGACCCCGGCUGAGUGCUUGGCAUGCAGAAGGAGGCCCAGAAGGAGAUCCUCCCCCUGCCUCAACUUGCCCAGCUUCCCCCCCUCCCUCCCUGCCGCCAGUUGGGGGGCGGGGGCCGGGUCCCCAUGGAGCCCCCAGAGCAGGAGGCCAGAGGCAGCGCCGCCCCGUCGCCUUCCCCUCCGGACACAGGGAGGGGCUACUCUUGAAGAUGUAGCUCUAGGGGCAAGCGCGUCGGAAAAGGAGCCGGAAGUGGCGCUGGGAAAUGCGCCGGAAGUGGCCAGACAGGGAAAGGAGGAGGAGGGGCGUCGCUGAAGAGCCCCCCCUCCCCCUGUCGCCGCCGCCCUUUCUUUGCGCAUAAGGAAAGCGGACUAAUCCGGAGCCAGGGAGGCGGAGGACCAAGAGACCCCUAAGUAGUAGCAGCUGCCAGGACAUUGUCCUGUUCGCCUCUAUACAGUUCCAGCCUUAGUUCAGAUGUUGUGGUAGAUUGCAAUCAGGGUGGAUUUGAUAUAAAUCAAAUUGAUUUCAAUCACAAUUUACAAUCAAUCACUAGUCAGUAUGAUUCUGUUUAAAUCAAAAAUUUCUGAUUUGGUUACACUGUUAGAAAUACACAGGCAGAUAAUUAUGAAAUCAUUCUGAGGUUUAAUAAGUUUACUGUCCAUAUUUGGACAACAUUUCUGCUGUAAUUUAUUGGAAAGAGAAAAAUAAUCAUUUCCUUAAUAACAACUUAAACAAUUUAUUUAACUAAAACAAUAUUAUAGCAUGUUGGUAAAAAGAUUUUUUUUAUAUAUAAAAAACAACAACCAAGCAGACUGAGUUUUAGCGCACAUGAAAAACUCGGAACUUACGCCUUUCACCACCUCCACUACCAGCCACCCCUUUGGAUAGGUGCCUAUUCUGUACAGUUAAGUGUUAGUGCGGCUGUUGGAACCCAGUGGGAUUGGGAAGAGGUUGCCAGCCCUGAAGAGCCUUCAGCGCUUGCCUCAAGUCUGACUUGCACAAUUAUUACACAAAGACCCCAAGAUGUGUGGAGUAUUCUGCUCACAAGGUUGAACUUUCAUUUUUACUGCUUCACACUUAGCUACUUGUGCAGAUCUCUUCCACUGCAAACCAUCUGUUCAUUGAACCUCUUAGAACUCAGCAUUUAAGGGGUUGAUUCUGUGUAUAUAAUUCUGCAUUGGAACAAUGGGAUUAAGGUUUUCCGUCAACUCUGUAUGUUUAUUUUAUAACAUUUUUCCUGUGAAGAAAAGGCAUGUUAUCUCUGCAGAUACACAAAUUCACACUUUUGAGAAUGGCAAAAACAAGCAUCUGUGACAAUAUCGUCUCUUUAGAAAAACUUCCCCAAAUAAUCUUACAAAAACCUCUGGAAGAGCAUGACAUUGUGAAUGGAUUAAUGGAAUUCAUUUACCCAAAAAAUUAAAUAUUCCAUAUAAAGCCUCAUGCUAGAUCAUUAAAAAGAUAUCCUUAUUUCCUGAUGAAUAGCCUUUGGACUAUAAUGUAAUUAAAUAUAAAACUAUCUUUAGAUAGACUUUUUCCUCUAAAAGCAUUUUAUUUUUU